rnacentral:lncRNA from 1 species
AUGCCAUACACAUGUUGCAAAUGGGAAGAGGAAGAUGAACAUACCUGCCCAAAUCCCUGUGUGUUGCUGGAGUUUCAUGAUGGUGGCUCAGUAAACGAUGAACACACGACGCAUUUCCUUUCCUCUGCUUCUGGACCCACUGCAAGAUGGAGCAAAACACGUUGCUGUUACGGGAGCGAUGCACACGGGGGCAGGACUGGAUCUCCUAUGAGGAAGGGAAUUCAAUUUAGAGCAAGUAAAGCCCCUGCUCUAAGCCGCACUCUUGUGAUAUUUCUCCUUGCAGCUCUACUAUCUGAUUGCUGCCUGCAUAUCUCCUGCCGCUUAAGCACAGAUGAUAUCUCAGGGAAGAAGGGUGUCUGGAAUUACUUGGCUUGUAGCAAAAAGCUGAGGAUCCAGCCCAGUGCAUCCCAAUCCCUCAGCUCCAUCACUGCAAUAGCUGUGACGCAGCCAGACCCCAAAACAGCGUCUCCAGGUGGUUUUAUGUUGAAGCAUAAUUUUAUUUUUCCCCACACUGACAAACCAUUUAUGAUGAUGAAGCCCUGGGGAAAAAGCUGCAUCAAGAGCAAGGUCUAGACUGGCCCGGGGUGUGUUCUGGCCAGCAACAAUUAGAGCAGUACAUGAAACAGAAAGACUAAUAUAAAAUAGAGCAGAACAAAAUAACUGCACGCAAUGCAUUAAUCAGUUUGCAGCGUAAUUGAAUGGCGUUUCCUAAAUUCACAGACACCAGAUAAUGAAACAAAGUGCUGAGGUACCACUAAAGAACCGUGCCAUAAAACACCUCGGCAGGCAGACAAUGUUUCCUGCCUGGAAUUUCCUGGAGGGAAGAGUUAGAUUAGUAAUGAUGAGAGAAUAUUGUGUUGUUGUUGUGUCAGGAUUUUAUUGAGCAGCAACAACAAAAUAAUAAUAAUUUUCAGUGAUGACUGUGGCAGAGCCUUGUCCUCCUGGCCAUCCUGCAGUGCAGGGCCUGGUGCAGAGGUGGGGGUAAUGCUGGGAUCCCACGCUGCCCUCCACCACCUCUUUAGCAGUGCAGCUCCGUGGCAGGAUGGGAGAUGUGUCCAUCUCUACUCACAUUUUCCCCUCUAUGCCCUGGGUUUUGCUGUUCAGUGGUCAUGGCCCCUGCAAGAUGCCUUCUGAAGAAUGCUGGGACCCUGAGAGCAACUGGGAUCAUCACUUGUCUCCCAGACAGCAAGGUUCCUUGAGGCCCUCCUCAUCCCCCUUGCCCUCCUCGUCUUCACUCUCAUCCCAAAGAGGGGCUUGGCAGUGAACCGUUGCAGAAUUGGAAAGAGGCUGUCUCCCUUUGGAGAGCUGCUCUCUCCGCUCUCUGCAAAGUGACACAUUGUCACUUAAGAUCAUUAACUAUUUGACUGUGAGCCCGCUGCCCGUACGACACUCCGCACUGCCGGCACUUUGCUGUUAAUGAAUAAUAAAUUAACGCUAUGACUCUGAGCCUUUCCUUUC